GGUUGUGUAGUGUAGCGGUUAUCACUUCGGAUUCUGACCUUUCAGAAUUGCUCCUUCCGGAAACCCAGGUUCGAUUCCUGGCACGACCU